rnacentral:tRNA from 1 species
AGGAUAAUAGUCAAAAAUGAUACCUGAUUUGCAUUUAGGAGGUGUUACUAAGUUAACUUAUCUUA